GGUGGGUUGGCUCAGUGGUUAGAGCGUAGGUCUCGUAACCGAAAGGUCCCGGGAUCGAAUCCCGCUAGAGGCUG
rnacentral:tRNA from 1 species